rnacentral:rRNA from 1 species
AACGAACGCUGGCGGCAUGCCUAACACAUGCAAGUCGAACGAGACCUUCGGGGCUAGUGGCGCACGGGUGCGUAACGCGUGGGAACCUGCCCUUAGGUUCGGAAUAACUCCCCGAAAGGGGUGCUAAUACCGGAUAAUGUCUUCGGACCAAAGAUUUAUCGCCUUUGGAUGGGCCCGCGUUGGAUUAGCUAGUUGGUAGGGUAAAAGCCUACCAAGGCGACGAUCCAUAGCUGGUCUGAGAGGAUGAUCAGCCACACUGGGACUGAGACACGGCCCAGACUCCUACGGGAAGCAGGAGUGGGGAAUAUUGGACAAUGGGCGAAAGCCUGAUCCAGCAAUGCCGCGUGAGUGAUGAAGGCCUGAGGGUUGUAAAGCUCUUUUACCCGGGAUGAUAAUGACAGUACCGGGAGAAUAAGCUCCGGCUAACUCCGUG